CGGGGGGAGCAAGCGUUGUUCGGAUUUACUGGGCGUAAAGGGCGCGUAGGCGGCCACCGCAAGUCGACUGUGAAAUCUCCGGGCUUAACCCGGAAAGGUCAGCCGAUACUGCGGGGCUAGAGUGCAGAAGGGGCAACUGGAAUUCUCGGUGUAGCGGUGAAAUGCGUAGAUAUCGAGAGGAACACCUGCGGCGAAGGCGGGUUGCUGGGCUGACACUGACGCUGAGGCGCGAAAGCUAGGGGAGCGAACGGGAUUAGAUACCCCGGUAGUCCUAGCCUUAAACGAUGAAUGCUUGGUGUCUGGGGUUUUAUAGUCCCCGGGUGCCGUCGCUAACGCUUUAAGCAUUCCGCCUGGAGAGUACGGUCGCAAGACUG
rnacentral:rRNA from 1 species